rnacentral:rRNA from 1 species
CGUGCUAAGGUAGCAUAAUCAUUUGCCUCUUAAUUGGUGGCUAGUAUGAAUGGACACACGCAAGCAUCGCUGUCUCACUAAUAUAAAUAAAAACUAACCUUUAGGUGAAGAGGCCUAAAUAAAAUAAAAAGACAAAAAGACCCUAUGGAGCUUUAUUUUUCCUCCUUUAACGUACAAUAUACUAAAAUACCUUCCAGGACUAACAAAUUUAGUUGGGGCGACUUAGGAAAACAAUAAAUCUUCCUAGUUUAACAAGAAAAUAAUUCAUCCAACGAUCCGCCAUGCGAAUACAGAUCCAGCUACCCUAGGGAUAACAGGCUAAUUCUUCUCGAGAGCCCGAAUUGACAGAAGAGAUUGGCACCUCG